rnacentral:rRNA from 1 species
UGGGGAAUAUUGGACAAUGGGCGAAAGCCUGAUCCAGCAAUGCCGCGUGUGUGAAGAAGGUCUUCGGAUUGUAAAGCACUUUCGACGGGGACGAUGAUGACGGUACCCGUAGAAGAAGCCCCGGCUAACUUCGUGUCCAG